rnacentral:misc_RNA from 1 species
UUUCUUCAUUUCUCCAAGUACUGGAGACAGAAACAGCAACUCCAAAAAUGAAAAAGAAUUUCUUUCACUCUCUAAUUCCAUUCACAAACCUUUGCUUCUUAAUCUUAUUACCUGCAUGUAACCCAAUAUCGGCUCCGGCGACUCGUUCGGAAUCUGAUCUGAGUUCUCUGACUCGGGAGCUGCUGGAGUCGGCGAGAGAGCCUGAGUUCUUCGAUUGGUUAAAACGGAUUAGGAGGAGAAUCCAUGAAUACCCAGAGCUUGCAUUUGAAGAGUACAACACGAGUGAAUUCAUAAGAUCGGAGCUUGACUCGCUUGGAAUUGAGUAUGUUUGGCCUAUCGCGAAGACUGGGUUGGUGGGUUCGAUUGGAACAGGGGUGGAGCCCUGGUUCGGUCUUAGAGCAGACAUG